GGCUCAGAACGAACGCUGGCGGCGUGCCUAACACAUGCAAGUCGAACGAGAAAGUGGAGCAAUCCAUGAGUAAAGUGGCGACCGGGUGAGUAACACGUGACUAACCUACCCUAAAGUGGGGGAUAACUCCGGGAAACCGGGGCUAAUACCGCAUAACAUCGCGAGGGGAAAGAUCCUUGUGAUCAAAGGAGCAAUUCGCUGAAGGAGGGGGUCGCGGCUGAUUAGUUAGUUGGUAGGGUAACGGCCUACCAAGACAAAGAUCAGUAUCCGGCCUGAGAGGGCGCACGGACACACUGGAACUGAAACACGGUCCAGACUCCUACGGGAGGCAGCAGUGGG
rnacentral:rRNA from 1 species